rnacentral:rRNA from 1 species
CCUACGGGAGGCAGCAGUGGGGGAUAUUGGACAAUGGGGGGAACCCUGAUCCAGCGACGCCGCGUGAGUGAAGAAGUAUUUCGGUAUGUAAAGCUCUGUCAGCAGGGAAGAAAGAAAUGACGGUACCUGACUAAGAAGCCCCGGCUAACUACGUGCCAGCAGCCGCGGUAAUACGUAGGGGGCAAGCGUUAUCCGGAAUUACUGGGUGUAAAGGGAGCGUAGACGGUUUAGUAAGUCUGGAGUGAAAGGCCGGAGCCUAACCCCGGGACUGUUCUGGAAACUAUUGAACUUGAGUGCAGGAGAGGUAGGCGGAAUUCCUGGUGUAGCGGUGAAAUGCGUAGAUAUUAGGAGGAACACCAGUGGCGAAGGCGGCUUACUGGACUGUAACUGACGUUGAGGCACGAAAGCGUGGGGAGCAAACAGGAUUAGAUACCCCAGUAGUC